rnacentral:rRNA from 1 species
ACGAACGCUGGCGGCGUGCCUAAUACAUGCAAGUAGAACGCUGAAGGAGGAGCUUGCUUCUCUGGAUGAGUUGCGAACGGGUGAGUAACGCGUAGGUAACCUGCCUGGUAGCGGGGGAUAACUAUUGGAAACGAUAGCUAAUACCGCAUAAUAGCAGUUGUUGCAUGACAACUGUUUGAAAGGUGCAAUUGCACCACUACCAGAUGGACCUGCGUUGUAUUAGCUAGUUGGUGGGGUAACGGCUCACCAAGGCGACGAUACAUAGCCGACCUGAGAGGGUGAUCGGCCACACUGGGACUGAGACACGGCCCAGACUCCUACGGGAGGCAGCAGUAGGGAAUCUUCGGCAAUGGACGGAAGGCUGACCGAGCAACGCCGCGUGAGUGAAGAAGGUUUUCGGAUCGUAAAGCUCGGUUGUAAGAGAAGAACGAGUGUGAGAGUGGAAAGUUCACACUGUGACGGUAUCUUACCAGAAAGGGACGGCUAACUACGUG